rnacentral:rRNA from 1 species
UGGGAGGGGCCGGGUGCCUAUACAUGCAGUCGAGCGAACAGAUGAGAAGCUUGCUUCUCUGAUGUUAGCGGCGGACGGGUGAGUAACACGUGGGUAACCUACCUAUAAGACUGGGAUAACUCCGGGAAACCGGGGCUAAUACCGGAUAAUAUUUUGAACCGCAUGGUUCAAUAGUGAAAGACGGUUUCGGCUGUCACUUAUAGAUGGACCCGCGCCGUAUUAGCUAGUUGGUAAGGUAACGGCUUACCAAGGCGACGAUACGUAGCCGACCUGAGAGGGUGAUCGGCCACACUGGAACUGAGACACGGUCCAGACUCCUACGGGAGGCAGCAGUAGGGAAUCUUCCGCAAUGGGCGAAAGCCUGACGGAGCAACGCCGCGUGAGUGAUGAAGGUCUUCGGAUCGUAAAACUCUGUUGUUAGGGAAGAACAAAUUUGUUAGUAACUGAACAAGUCUUGACGGUACCUAACCAGAAAGCCACGGCUAACUACGUGCCAGCAGCCGCGGUAAUACGUAGGUGGCAAGCGUUAUCCGGAAUUAUUGGGCGUAAAGCGCGCGUAGGCGGUUUCUUAAGUCUGAUGUGAAAGCCCACGGCUCAACCGUGGAGGGUCAUUGGAAACUGGGAAACUUGAGUGCAGAAGAGGAGAGUGGAAUUCCAUGUGUAGCGGUGAAAUGCGCAGAGAUAUGGAGGAACACCAGUGGCGAAGGCGGCUCUCUGGUCUGUAACUGACGCUGAUGUGCGAAAGCGUGGGGAUCAAACAGGAUUAGAUACCCUGGUAGUCCACGCCGUAAACGAUGAGUGCUAAGUGUUAGGGGGUUUCCGCCCCUUAGUGCUGCAGCUAACGCAUUAAGCACUCCGCCUGGGGAGUACGACCGCAAGGUUGAAACUCAAAGGAAUUGACGGGGACCCGCACAAGCGGUGGAGCAUGUGGUUUAAUUCGAAGCAACGCGAAGAACCUUACCAAAUCUUGACAUCCUUUGACCGCUCUAGAGAUAGAGUCUUCCCCUUCGGGGGACAAAGUGACAGGUGGUGCAUGGUUGUCGUCAGCUCGUGUCGUGAGAUGUUGGGUUAAGUCCCGCAACGAGCGCAACCCUUAAGCUUAGUUGCCAUCAUUAAGUUGGGCACUCUAGGUUGACUGCCGGUGACAAACCGGAGGAAGGUGGGGAUGACGUCAAAUCAUCAUGCCCCUUAUGAUUUGGGCUACACACGUGCUACAAUGGAUAAUACAAAGGGCAGCGAAUCCGCGAGGCCAAGCAAAUCCCAUAAAAUUAUUCUCAGUUCGGAUUGUAGUCUGCAACUCGACUACAUGAAGCUGGAAUCGCUAGUAAUCGUAGAUCAGCAUGCUACGGUGAAUACGUUCCCGGGUCUUGUACACACCGCCCGUCACACCACGAGAGUUUGUAACACCCGAAGCCGGUGGAGUAACCUUUUAGGAGCUAGCCGUCGAAGGGACAAAGU